GUGUCAGCAGCCGCGGUAAGACGUAGGGAGCGAGCGUUGUCCGGAUUCAUUGGGCGUAAAGAGCGCGCAGGCGGUUUGGUAAGUCGGAUGUGAAAACCCGGGGCUCAACCCCGGGCGUGCAUCUCGAUACUGCCCGACUAGAGGUAGGUAGGGGAGAUCGGAAUUCCUGGUGUAGCGGUGAAAUGCGCAGAUAUCAGGAGGAACACCGGUGGCGAAGGCGGAUCUCUGGGCCUUACCUGACGCUCAGGCGCGAAAGCUAGGGGAGCGAACAGGAUUAGAUACCCCAGUAGUCC
rnacentral:rRNA from 1 species